rnacentral:lncRNA from 1 species
GUGCCGGGGAGCCUGGCACCCGCCAGCGCCUCGCGCCUAGGCCUGCGCUGGGGCAGCUCCCGGGACACGGGGUCGCUGGCCCCAGCCAAGGCCCGCUCACAUCCCCGAGCGGGUGGAGGGCUAGAGCUCUGGGGCGAGCCCCCUCCCUUGUGCUGCCAGGCGGGGACCCCUCCGCUGCCGCUCGGACCACAGAAAGCCCCUUAUCUUGGGGGGGCGCUUGCCAUACCAGCCCAAGGGGGGGAUUUAAACCGGGUUACGCAACUGCUGCAGCGGACUGUGUGGACGCUCAUCCUCGGUGUGGAACAUCUCCCUUAGGAGAAUUUAUUGGUCAACUCUUGUACCUUAGUGGCUCAGCUGAACAGAUGGUAAGAACCUAAUGCACACACACUCUCUGGCUCACUCAGCAUUGCCAGCAUGUUGCUUUGGUAGAGGUAGCGAGGUUAGAAUGAGGGUGACACGUUGGGUGAAAACCUCAGAUUGUUGAGGCCUUUCUGAAGCCUUAGCACAAUUAACAGACCAGGAGGAGGGGGGGGGAGUGAAUGACCAAGAGGAGUAAACAUGACCCUGUGCCCUUCUGAUUGAGCUUUUUCCAAAGUAUAUUGUUUUGCAAGAUGGAAAUUCUGGCAAUAGUUAACUAUUGCUAUGUGAAAUACAGCUUGUUAACGAAUGGAAAAUUCCCUGCCUGACAGACUGGAAAACUCCACACUUAACAUUUCUUCCUGCUCAGCAGGAAGAAAUCUGGACACUUGAAUGCUCAGACACCUCUCAAGUUCCCCUGCAGACGGAAAGCCAGCCACUGGACAUUUGCAUUUAUCGAGACCUCCUCAUGACCCUGGGUAAAUAUGAAUCUAGGGGGUAAUUUGUAAGACAUAUUUAAGUGCUGGAGACUAAAUAAAGUAGAAGCUUUGCAUGAAAGCA